rnacentral:rRNA from 1 species
GAUGAACGCUGGCGGCGUGCCUAAUACAUGCAAGUCGAGCGAACAGAUAAGGAGCUUGCUCCUUUGACGUUAGCGGCGGACGGGUGAGUAACACGUGGGUAACCUACCUAUAAGACUGGAAUAACUCCGGGAAACCGGGGCUAAUGCCGGAUAACAUUUAGAACCGCAUGGUUCUAAAGUGAAAGAUGGUUUUGCUAUCACUUAUAGAUGGACCCGCGCCGUAUUAGCUAGUUGGUAAGGUAACGGCUUACCAAGGCAACGAUACGUAGCCGACCUGAGAGGGUGAUCGGCCACACUGGAACUGAGACACGGUCCAGACUCCUACGGGAGGCAGCAGUAGGGAAUCUUCCGCAAUGGGCGAAAGCCUGACGGAGCAACGCCGCGUGAGUGAUGAAGGUCUUCGGAUCGUAAAACUCUGUUAUUAGGGAAGAACAAAUGUGUAAGUAACUAUGCACGUCUGACGGU